GCAUGUCCUACUCGUACAGAGAAAGCAGGAGAAGUCGUGAGAUUCCUGCUACGAGAAAUAAUACCCCGAUAUGGACUACCUUGCUCUAUAGGAUCGGACAAUGGUCCAGCUUUUGUUCAUCAGUGCCUACAACAACUGACUCAUAUGCUUGGUAUAAAGUGGAGGCUUCAUACGGCAUAUAGACCCCAGAGUUCUGGUAAGGUAG